CAAAUCCACUCUUUUUAAGUCUGCAGCUCCAGCUCAGACUUCAGACCAACAAACACUGCUGGAGGACAAUUUGCCAAAUACAGUAGUGACAACUAUUUACAGAGACCAGGGUGGCUGACGGGAUGUUCCGAUCAGGGAUUUAUGCUGCCGAUUCCGAUCUUCAAUGAGUGAGAUUGGCCAAUCCAAAUCCCAUGUAUAAAUAGUAUUUCCUUUUUAUUUAUGUCUCUCCCCUGAUUGGACUUUGAGGAGCUCCGCCUCCUCCAGGAAGUGCUGCCGUUGCCUCGACGACCCCUCUUCAAGCUCCCUGCGACAGGCCUCCAAUUCUCGGGCAGAGAUUCCCUUCAGCUCCUACGACAGACAACAGUGUCUGCUGGUUUAGUAAUGCCGCGACAAAUAGGCCGCCCAAAGGCUCGGAACACAAAUAAAUCCUCAGAACAAGCUCCGCACAAACACACCAUUAUGAGACCUGGGUGACUAUGUAAUCCUUUCUCUGAUGGGCUGUUAGAGGCACAGAGAUCAACUGACAUACACGGGAGCAGCGUGCAUUUUCACCUGUAGUUGGAGUUGGUGCUGCUGGGAGAGUUGUUCUUUCUCAGCGACGUACGCGUGCGUCAGUUCCUGGAGAGCAGCGCUGUUUUGUUGCUCCAGCUGUAAAACCUGAGAAGAUGAGGUGGAUGAAGAAGGUAAGAUAAGCAGAGUUUGGCGACUUCUACUGCAACACACAGUGUGGCAUUCGCCAUAGUUAGAGAUGGGUACCAAAUCUGGUACUUUUUGGUAGUGACUGUUGAAUCCCGCCAGUCCUAAAGAGCACCGAUUCACGUAAAAUCCAACUGUGCCAUUUUGCAGUACCAGGGUUGCGCUUGACGUUACGCCCGGUUGCCAACUCUUUGCACUUGGGCGAUCACUCCAGCAGCACUGAGAGCGGAUUCAGCCAAACUACCUCUUAAGUAAUUUUGCAAUUUUCAAUGCCAACAAAGAAAUUCACUCAAAAAACACUCGAAAGUAAGGCUCCACAUUUCCACAAAUGUGCCAGCUUGAUGCUAAUAUACAUUGGCUUUUCUAUUGAUAUGCUACUGCUUAGCAUUAAUGACUAACUUUUUAAUUUCAACACCUUCAAAUUUGAUUAUGAAAACUGCCACUAAGAUGCACGUUACAUUCAAACAGCUGGUACGUAAUAACUACAAUACUUACAGAGUUAACACUUUGUAAGGCGCAACAUGAGGCAGCAAGGACUGAAAUGACCUAUACACUACUGCAAUCUAACAUCUUGGACUUGCGACUGUAAUUGCAACUUAAUGUAAUACCUGCAAAUGAUACUCAGAAAUGUGAUAAUGAAACAAGAUAAUUGGGCAGUAGUUAUCAUAAUUAGCCCUUUUUUUUUUUUUUUUUUAAAUGUUGCAAUCGAAAAAAUUUGGUCGUAUUUUUUAUUUUUUUAAAAACAAUUGUAUAUAUAUAUUUAUUAACGCACAGAAACUAUCAAAUUAGUACUGUUGAAACCCGGUACCAAUUCCCGGUACCUGGGAAUAGAUACCGUAUCGGUUCAAACGUGAAUGGUCACCAUCCCAGACCAUAGUAAAGAUCAUUACAACCACCUAGCGACACCACUUGUUAUUUAGAAAAGAAGGAAUGUACUCUGGGUGCGGCAUCUAUUUAUCAAAGUGGACUACCAUGUAGAUGCCACAGGAAGGCUUUGAAUGAUAAAAUCCAAUUAAAUAAUCGCGUUAUGCAUAUAACAUUACUGAUUUGAAACAGCAUGUGACACGAUUAAAUCAAUUCCUUUUGAAGCAACAGUGUAAGAAUAAUGAUUGGAUAGGUACCUGUUCCUUUAAUUCGCUCAGAGCUUUGCAGUGUUCAGCAUCUAGUGACUCUUUUUGAGCAGACAGUUCAGCCUGUAAGACAAAAAAAAAAGAUAUAAUGUACAUGAAAUUAUUUAAAAGCAGUAUUACAUUUACUGUACUAUACUUACUAAAGGGAAAGCUAUACAGUGGUGCCUCAGGAAACAAGUGCACCAUAGUUCAAGUUUUUUUUGGGAUACAAGCUGUCUUGGCUAAACAUUAAGCUUUAGGUUGCCAGCAAAAAUUCAGGUAUCCAACCUACCGAAUGUCAGUUGGCGCAGUGAAUGUCACAGUCAAUCCUGUAGGAUUCGACCAAAACAUCCCGUCUUACUCACUAGCAUUAUCUUAUAGCUAGUGAGCAACAUAACUUUGUUUUUCCAACUAUAGGAACGAAAACAAAUGAGUGUGAAGGACAGCGCUUAAAAGAAGUGGACGAUAUUCAUUGAAUUCCAUCCAUCCAUUUUCUACCGCUUGUCCCUUUUGGGGUCGCUGGAGCCUAUCUCAGCUACAAUCGGGCGGAAGGCGGGGUACACCCUGGACAA